rnacentral:rRNA from 1 species
UGGGGAAUUUUGGACAAUGGGCGAAAGCCUGAUCCAGCAAUGCCGCGUGUGUGAAGAAGGCCUUCGGGUUGUAAAGCACUUUUGUCCGGGAAAGAAAUCCUUGGCUCUAAUACAGUCGGGGGGAUGACGGUACCGGAAGAAUAAGCACCGGCUAACUACGUGCCAGCAGCCGCGGUAAUACGUAGGGUGCAAGCGUUAAUCGGAAUUACUGGGCGUAAAGCGUGCGCAGGCGGUUUGCUAAGACCGAUGUGAAAAUCCCCGGGCUCAACCUGGGGAACUGCAUUGGUGACUGGCAGGCUAGAGUAUGGCAGAGGGGGGUAGAAUUCCACGUGUAGCAGUGAAAUGCGUAGAGAUGUGGAGGAAUACCGAUGGCGAAGGCAGCCCCCUGGGCCAAUACUGACGCUCAUGCACGAAAGCGUGGGGAGCAAACAGGAUUAGAUACCCUGGUAGUCCACGCCCUAAACGAUGUCAACUAGUUGUUGGGGAUUCAUUUCCUUAGUAACGUAGCUAACGCGUGAAGUUGACCGCCU